UGCCAGCCGCCGCGGUAAUACGGAGGGUGCAAACGUUAAUCGGAAUUACUGGGCGUAAAGCGCGCGUAGGUGGUUUGUUAAGUGGGAUGUGAAAGCCCCGGGCUUAACCUGGGAACUGCAUUCCAAACUGGCAGACUAGAGUAUGGUAGAGGGAGGUAGAAUUUCCUGUGUAGCGGUGAAAUGCGUAGAUAUAGGAAGGAAUACCGAUGGCGAAGGCAGCCUCCUGGACCAAUACUGACACUGAGGUGCGAAAGCGUAGGGAGCAAACAGGAUUAGAUA
rnacentral:rRNA from 1 species